rnacentral:rRNA from 1 species
CGUAACAAGGUUUCCGUAGGUGAACCUGCGGAAGGAUCAUUAUCCAUUCAAAACCAGCUGCGGUCGCGGCCCCACGCUUACCCGUGGUGGUGCGCGCCGCACGUCUGCACCCUUUCUUUACGAGUACCUUCGUUCUCCCUCGGCGGGGCAACCUGCCGUCGGAAUCAAACAAACCCUUUUUUGCAUCUAGCAUUACCUGUUCUGAUACAAACAAUCGUUACAACUUUCAACAAUGGAUCUCUUGGCUCUGGCAUCGAUGAAGAACGCAGCGAAAUGCGAUAAGUAGUGUGAAUUGCAGAAUUCAGUGAAUCAUCGAAUCUUUGAACGCACAUUGCGCCCCUUGGUAUUCCAUGGGGCAUGCCUGUUCGAGCGUCAUCUACACCCUCAAGCUCUGCUUGGUGUUGGGCGUCUGUCCCGCCUCUGCGCGCGGACUCGCCUCAAAAUCAUUGGCAGCGGUCCUUGCCUCCUCUCGCGCAGCACAUUGCGCUUCUCGAGGGGCGUGGGUCGCGUCCACGAAGCAACAUUACCGUCUUUGACCUCGGAUCAGGUAGGGAUACCCGCUGAACUUAAGCAUAUCAAUA